GACGAACGCUGGCGGCGUGCUUAACACAUGCAAGUCGAACGGAAAGGCCCUGCUUUUGUGGGCUUCCCGAGUGGCGAUCGGGUGAGUAACACGUGUGUAUCCUGCCCUUGUCUUUGGUAUAACUUCAGGUAACUGGGGUUACUAUCGGAUAGGAGCUCCUGCUCCAUGGUGGGGGUUGGAAAGUUUCGGCGGUUGCGGAUGGAUUCGCGGCUUAUCAGCUUGCUGGUGGGGUAGUGGCUUACCAAGCCUUUGACGGGUAGCCGGCCUGUGAGGGUGACCGGCCACACUGGGACUGCGAUACGGCGCAGACUCCUACGGGAGGCAGUAGUCGGAAAUAUUGCACAGUGAGCGGGAGCCUGAUAAGACAACGCCGCGUUCGGAAUGCCGGCCUGCGGGGUAUAAACCGCAUUCGGCUGUGACGAAGCGUGAGUGACGGUAAUGGGAGAAGAAGCACCGGCUAACUACGUG
rnacentral:rRNA from 1 species